rnacentral:lncRNA from 1 species
AAUUAGCAUCUGCUGGAUCACUGACUGCAUUUCCACAGAACACAGAACAAAGCGGUUAAGAUCCAGGGCAUUGAGCCACGCCUUAAAUCGAAGCAUUGUCCACCUUCUAACCCCAAGCAGACACCAAGAGGGAGCCAACAACAGGGAUCCUGAGAGGCAAAGGGAGUCCAAGGAGCUAUGGGGAGAACUUUCCAUCUUUGGGGAUGAGAAUGUGAAGCAUCAAUUUAUGUGAAAACUACUGCUUGAUUAAAGACAAGAUUUUUGAAAGCCAUCCUGUAAAACACCCUGUCCCACACAUUGUUAAAGAUCUGGUACCUGAAACCACAGUGCCGAAAGUAGUCAAGUACGACUAUGCCUGAAGCCCAGAAGUGUGGUUUUCCACAGUGAGGAAGAUUUGCAUUGUGAAGCAGAUGUCAGAUAGAAAAAGCAAAACAGAAAUAUGAAGACAUUGUAAGAAUUUUGGGGUGAUUUCUGACCUGCUCAGUUUCCAUCAGGGCAUCCCAGGGUUUUUUGCCUUCUCAAUUUUGAACAGCAUAGCAUUUAAAUGAUCAUUUUUGUUUCUCUCCGCUGCUCCCCAAUCUAAACAACAAAAGAAGGAAUUUAACCUCAUAUCCUCGCUCUGAAAUUAGCUCUAUUGUCAAAAGAUGACAGCUGUAUCCUGAUUUCAAGAAUUUCAUGUUGGAAUAAAACAGCAUUUUUGAAACCAUUGUGUUAUUUCAAACAGAUCUGUAAUGGUCCCUGAGCAAACCAUUUUCAGAAGACUUGGGUGAGAUCACGUGAUGAUGGAGAAGGUCACCAGAGCCAGGCACCUUGUCCACACACAGGGCUUCCUUCCUCCAUGACUUAACCCAGAGAUGUAGACGGCGGGGUCAACAUUAAAUACCACAAACAGGCAAAAGAGCUUCAGACAGAAGGAUCAUCUUCCUGAAGACAAAAUAAUCAUCAUCCUUUGAGGGCAAAGUGGGCAACGUUAUGGGUAUCUUUUGUUUUGGAAUGGGACUCUACACUAUGGGAUUUCUAGUGGAGAGGACAGUUACCAGAGUCAGCACUGGAGCAACUUUUGCUUUUAUAAUCAGAAAAAAGAAAUCAAAGUUAAUUUAGAAAGGAAUUGUACUGCUUUUGAGGAGCACAAGCUUUGGAUACAGAAAGACCUUGAAUUAUAGCCUGCUUUGAACCUCUACGAUCUGUGCAGCAUUGGCUAAACAUUUCUUAGACUCAGAUCUUCAGUUUCACAUCUUUUAAAAGGCAUAAUAACAGAAUGCUUACAGGUUUACCUUGAAAAUAGCUGAGCCUACCUUACGGAGUGCUGGACGUGUGGUAUGUGUUUAGUGCAGGCCAGCUCCCCUCCCCAGUUCAACACAUCCUGAGUGGUAUCCACUGACAUUGAAAGACCAAAAUCAGAUCUUUUUGAGUCUCAUCAAUUCUAUCAAAAAAACCCUCCCCCUUGUGCUCUCAACCUAGGAGGGUCAAGCCAGUGGAAUGGUAAUCAUCUUGUGUGAGUUGUCAGUGCUCUCCUAAGCAUCUGUUACGCAGGAUCACGCUCUUAAGUUUGCCAAAAAUUACCUCAUUGAUAAUGUCUGCUGGAGAUGCUUAGGCAAAACUUGAAAUAGAAAGAUAGUCUUUUGGAAGACAAUUCCCCACAAGUGUAACCCCAAAGAAUGUUGGUUUGGUGACAUGGAACAGCUGGAAAAGUAAGACCACAUCGUUCAAAAGCAUGACAGUACCUCUGCAAAUGAGACGAGAGCUAAAUAUGUGUCUCAGAGAUAGGAAGCUAAAUCAGAACGCAGCAAGAAGACAGCACACAUUCGAGAGAGGAAAAAAUGUGAAAUCUGCUUCUGGCCAUCAGAGGAGCUGAUGCAAUCCCGGCUGACUCGGGGGACAGCCACGGUGCCAGCUACAGAGGCCACAUGGCUUCUAAUGAGGCCAGGCCCAGUUGUAGCUCCGAAGAGUGGGUGAGCCAGCCAAAUUUCACCCAAGGACAGAAGCAGCCUUAACAGCUGUUGACAAGCACUGGCUACCAUCUAUGUGUCAACAAUUGUGUCAUGAGUUUGAGAUGGGCCGACAGCACGUGGAACUCAAAGGUGACUAAGGGAGAAAGGAAAGUAAAUCAAUGAUCAGAGUCCAGAGAGCUACAUGCAGUGCAACCCAUGGUUUUAUGGGAGAACCGACAGGGGCACCUCACUCUGGAAGGAACAACGCCAGGAGAGGCUUUGAGGUGCCGAUAAUGUCCAGGAACUUGUUUGGAAUUGAGCCUUGAUUCUGAAAAGAAAGUAUCAGAGGGCAGCAUUUGAACUGGCAUUUAAGGUGUCAACCAGGGGGAAUUUGGUGCCGACCAGUAAAAGGGGAGAAUCAAAAACAGAAGCUCCAUCACCAGGGACAGGGCCAGACUCCUGACUAGAAACUCAGUGGAUGUGCUGAAUCAUUCGGAUACUUUCCAGAAAAUUAUUUUACCUACUCAGAAGGCUGGGCAUCAGCCAAAACUGUCUGGAAAACCACAAGGAAAGACAUUUCCAUGAAGUAACUAGAGUUUUGGGCUUCUACUCUAGAGGAAUAUAAGAGGAACUUUCUUUAAAGAGUAUGCAGGUGGUUCCUUUUAAGCUCACCUGUCUGGUUUUUCAAACAGAUCAAGGGGUGAUGGCAGGGAAACGUCUCCCCUGGAAAUCUCACCCCUCCAUUUGCUAAAGAGAAGGAGCUUCAAUCCCUUGACAGGAUGAUGAAACAAUAAUAAACUGAUGUGACCAAGUCUCAUGCCAGCAGUCCUACCUGUGGCCCACCCUUCUCGUGGCCAACAAUGGCUUUUCUUAAAUAAAUAAAAAUCAAGAUUUGUACCACUCCUGCUGUAAGCUCUUCAGUGGCUCAUGGAUGAAUGAACAGGAUCACCAUUGGCACACAAGUCCCCCCACAGAUCACCUACUCAUCUUUCCACCCCAGCUUUUGCCAUUCUCUCCCCAUCCCACAAAUCCAUUGCCAUCCAAAGAUAAGAAAGAUACCAGAUAGGGCUUCCCAGUUGCAGCAGAGUGGACUGUCUUUACACUGGAGGGCUAUUCUUCCACAAAGAAGUCUUCUCCCCCGUGGGAAGGGAUUGGAGUACUUCUCCUAGGCACUAUGUGAGCAGAUGGUUGAGAAAUGAGCUAGCCCUUGAGCUUCUGCAGCAAGGGAGGGUCCCAUCAUGAGAGCAGAUGGUAUGGGAAAUGCACCAGUUUGGAAUUGGGAGGAACAAGUUUCAGGCCUGACUCAGAUACAGAUACUUGCCAUCAUCAGUAUGCCCUUGAAUGAACUAUAAAGUGUCUCUGAACCUCUGUUGUCUCCUUUGCAGUGUUGAGCCAAGGUUAUAUACCACACAGGGAUUGAGGAAGAGGAAUUAAGGCAGCGUACAUGGAAGUGGCUGGCU